rnacentral:lncRNA from 1 species
AGAAAGUAAGUGGAAACUUGGGUUCCACGUAGCUUCAUUUUUUUGUCGCGUGUAUUACAUAUCUUUCUUACAUGUUUCUCACAUGUAGUUAUGAGUGGCUACCUUUACUGGUGACCUAACUCUUUUUGUUCCAUCGCUGAUGCUUAUAUAAAGUGGCAGCUCCUCCAUAGCUAACGCCACUCAGAUCUCAAACCAAUUCCCUCAGCUCAAGUCCUAAGCAGUCUCGAGCAACUCCUCUCGCUAAAGCAACGAUCGACAACUUGCAUAUCGCCAUUAAUUUGCAACAAGGGAAGAUUUGAAGGAAGGAUUUGUCUUCGGCAAUGGAAAAGAAGAUCAGAGAUUUGAGUUCUUGGACGGAGGUUGCGCCACCACUCUUCAUUUCUUGGCGCAAGACUUCCAAUUCUCCUGCGCUGGAGACUAUUACCGAAGAGGAGGCUGAGGGUAGGGAAGAUGACAAAUAAUUCAAUGCUCAGUGUUCUUCGAUUGUUUUGGUCCCUCUUUUUUCUCUGUAUAUGGGUUGAAUCCGAUAGAUCAUGCAAUAUAACUUGAUUUUGUUGUUCAAACUGGCAAGAAUUGUCCGUACUUGUAGCAUGUUCUUUCCUUCUCCAAUAUCUCGCCGGUCCUUGUUUGUGCGUUCACCAUAGCAUCUAAAUGCAAUACAACUCAAUAUUUAAAAGUGUUAAUUCUGUCUUCGAAAAAUUUAUUAAGUUAAUAGCCAAGAUAGUUCUUUGAUUGAGUCUUGGAAACAUUAUUCCUAGUUCAUUUUAUACUUGCAGGCAAGUAAUAAAAGAACAAAGAUUUUUUUUUAAUUGGAUUGUUUAUACUUUUGAACCCGUUGGUUC